rnacentral:rRNA from 1 species
AGUGAACGCUGGCGGUAGGCCUAACACAUGCAAGUCGAACGGCAGCACAGUAAGAGCUUGCUCUUACGGGUGGCGAGUGGCGGACGGGUGAGGAAUACAUCGGAAUCUACUUUUUCGUGGGGGAUAACGUAGGGAAACUUACGCUAAUACCGCAUACGACCUACGGGUGAAAGCAGGGGAUCUUCGGACCUUGCGCGAUUGCAUGAGCCGAUGUCGGAUUAGCUAGUUGGCGGGGUAAAGGCCCACCAAGGCGACGCUCCGUAGCUGGUCUGAGAGGAUGAUCAGGCACACUGGAGCUGAGACACGGCCCAGAGUCCUACGGGAGGCAGCCGUGGGGAAUAUUGGACAAUGGGCGGAAGCCUGCUCCAGCCAUACCGCGUGGGUGAAGAAGGCCUUCGGGUUGUAAAGCCCUUUUGUUGGGAAAGAAAAGCAGCAGGUGAAUACCCCGCUGUUCUGACGGUACCCAAAGAAUAAGCACCGGCUAACUUCGUG